rnacentral:tRNA from 1 species
GGUGGUGUAGUAUAGUGGUGAGUACAAUUCGUUGUGGACCUCUUGUUGUUUAGCUCCGAAUAGACCCAGGUUCGAUUCCUGGCACCGCCA